UACGUAGGGGGCUAGCGUUGUCCGGAAUCAUUGGGCGUAAAGCGCGUGUAGGCGGUCCGGUAAGUCCGCUGUGAAAGUCGGGGGCUCAACCCUCGGAUGCCGGUGGAUACUGUCGGGCUUGAGUACGGAAGAGGCGAGUGGAAUUCCUGGUGUAGCGGUGAAAUGCGCAGAUAUCAGGAGGAACACCAAUUGCGAAGGCAGUUCUCUGGGCCGUAACUGACGCUGAGGAGCGAAAGCGUGGGGAGCGAACAGG
rnacentral:rRNA from 1 species